GUGCUCGUUUUGGCAGCACAUAUACUAAAAUUAGAACACUACGAGAAGAUUAGCAUGGCCCCUGCACAAGGAUAAAAAUAAAAAUUGACAAAUGAAUUUAAAAAAA
ensembl:snRNA U6 U6 spliceosomal RNA